rnacentral:lncRNA from 1 species
CCUGCAUCAGGAAUAAAAACCCCUUCCCCUCCCUUGUUCAGGUGUGCUCUCAGCAUUGCUCCAUCCACGAGUCACACCCUUCUAUAGAAGUAAAAUCGCCUUGCUGAGAAAAUUAAAUUUAUGUUUGAGUGCUAUUCCUUUUGUGGCACUGAGAAUUUAUUUUUAACAAGAGGAGAAGGAACACAAGACCCCAGAAGUAUGCCAACAUAUAAAACCCCAAGUCAAAGGUCAAACCAGACACUUAAGUCCUCAAAUCACCUGCCUGGACCACUUCCAAGCAUACUUUCCUUCCUUUCGUUUCUGUUCUAAAGCUUUCUAAUAAGCUCACUCCUGCUCUAAAAUUUGCCUUGGUCUCUUACUCUGCCUUAUGCCUCUCAAAUUCUUUCUAUUGAAGAGGAGAGAUUUGAGGUUGCUGCAGACCCAUAACAAUUCACUGCUGCUAAAAUACUUUGCUUCAUGACUCAGAGACGUUCACUAGUGCUAAUAGUAUGGGCUUUUAUCAUAAACAUUUUGGGAUAAAUUAAUGCCUAUUAGCUGUCUUUAAAUAUUGGAAAAAUUAAUCAUCAUAGCGAUCACAUAAUAAUAAAUUUGGCAUCUUACAUUUGUCGGAUGCUUUAUUCUGGAACAAGUGCUCUGCUACAUAUUACCACAUUUUUGAUCUCACAGCAGCCCUAAUAUAAGUUCAUUUGAGUGCCAGCCUCUGUCUAACCACCUUUUCAACUCUGACUGUGGAAACCACAACAAGUAAUAGUAAUGUGGAUCUUCACUUUAGGUAUUCUACACAGGGAAGAGAAUGAACUUUGUGCUGACAUCAUCUGCCAGCUUCCCAGAAGCCCUCCCUAAAUGUCUAUCUGUCUCACCAAAUUUUUACCCCACAGCAGGUACUGAUACCCAAGUCUCUUUACUUAUAUAUCCCACUCCUCUCCCGCAGUCCCACAGUCUCUCAGGACUAUGCCAUUUCUAGUUUUUAGUUCUCCCUUCCUUAGUGCCAUUUUUAUCCUUCCUUCACCUGCAUACCAGUUCCUGGGAGUACAGUUUGCCUCAAGACUCCAGGCUCCAGAAGGAGAUGAGAAGAUGAACAGAAGAGCAGAAGAAUGGCAGAAUGGCAUGGCAGAGAGAAGAAAAGGAGCAUCUGAAUGCCAAGAGGAGUUUGACUGGGUGUGGCCAGAGAGGAGUUCAGCUGCUGGAUGAUCAAACUCCAGGGGAAGAUCAUCUUCCCACUUCCUCCCUGUGCUAGUCCCCCAUCGAUCCCACUGAGAGCCACCUCUUCCACCCAAGAAAACCCCCACAUUUACCACCCUUAAGUCUGUGUGUGAGUUGAUUCUUCUGGGUUGCUGGAUAAGAGCUCCACAUACAGAAAGCUGUCACACUGGCCUUCUGCCAUUGUGAAAAGGCAGAGGGUUCACUGAGCUGGUUAACACGUAAGCCGUCUGCAGAUGGCAAAGCUAAAAGAGCGCACUGUAACACAUGUCACACCCACUUAGGCUUUGGGAGUUGCAGGCACACACCUCUAGUUGCUACCAUGGGGCCAGAGCCCCAGAGCACUCACCCUGGCUCCUGUGCCUGCCUGUCUGCGUGCUCCCCCAACUCUAAAAUGUUUGAGUGUACGGCAGCCGAAUGCAUAGGCCCCCACCCCUGUCGCAUGUUCUGCAAGUGGUUCAGGGAACUCUCCCGUUACGAUAAGGAGAAAUACAAACUUGUUGACAAUCUUAGAACAUAAUUGACUAAAGAAUGACUGAAUUUUCAACUAUUCUGUAAAUCUAAAAUUAUUCCAAAAUCAAGUUUAUUAAAAAAGAAACAAAAAGUAAGCUACCAUGUGAUGAGGGAGACAGCUCUAGUCACUGGAAAUGUUGAAACAGAGUAUAGAAAAUCUCUUGGUGGGAAGUAUGUACAAUGGACUGAAGCAUGAGUCAAUUAUCCAGUGUAUUUACUACAUUUAUAUUGACAUGUCACAGAGAGGAGGGGACAGAAAGUAUUGUGUAUGACAGAUUCAAUAUUAAAAAUUGUCAUGAUAGGUUGCAACCAACCAGGUAAAAUAUCAAAAGGAUAAACAUAAUGCCACACAUUUGGGUUUACAAUCUCAAUUGCUUUAUAUAUAUUAAAUAAAAAUGUAUAGUACAUAAUUAAU